UCCACCUCCCUGCAACUUUUGGGUUAUUAUUUUCAUCUCAUUUAAAAUAGCACAGAGUCGGAGACAAGAUGGCGUGGCAGUUCUCUGGAGAUUUAAUCGCUAAUGACCUCAUCUUCAAAUGGUCAGUGAUAAUAAACAAGAAGACGGGAUUUCCAAGGGGGCAGAGCAUUAAUAAGAAUGUUAUCAUUCCAAACAUACAGUGCUGCCAUCCCUGAGGAAAGAUGCUUUCUAUUUGAGGACCACCAGCUCUGCAUGUUGAUUUGAAAAAAGAUAAAAGAGCAUCUGGCCACCAUAGCACAGGCUGCACAUUCCCUCCCUCUUCAUUAUGCAGGGAGCUGAUGCGAUUUUUGCUUCUUUUCCAUUUAUACAAAUAAAGACAACGAUUUGGGAAAUAUGUCAUGCUGGCAUUAAACACCACCAAUCUUGCUGGGUUGAAACGUACAUGUUCCAUUAACAACAAUUAUAUUGUAUAAUUAAAGUUUUGGUCCCCAA
rnacentral:lncRNA from 1 species